UUAUUUUUAUUAAAACUGCAUUGUUGGUUAAGGUCUUGUAAGCAUUUCACUGUAACACCUGUUGUAUUCGGCACGUGUGACAAAUAACAUUUCAUUUGAUAGCCAUCACGCCAGAGCUAGUAUCAGACCACUGCGCUAUAGGAGCAUGGCAGUAAAGUGCUUUUUCCUUAACACUGGUGCCGAUGAAUGGGAUGGUGUACCAAACCAUAUAAAAUCCAUCCCUACGCUAGAGAGUUUGAAGAUACAGUAAACCUUAAGUAAUGAUUUAUGGGCAGAAUGCUUAAUACUGCACAGGCUUAAAGAAAGUAUAAUUAUUUCAAUGAAUGUUACUUGGUAAUCUAUUUUAUUUCUUGUACCGUUUCCUCCCUAUUGAUGAGAUGUAUUUUGUUUUCAUGUUAUUAUCUUGUUUAGGUUUUCUUUUCAUGUAUUUUCAAGAGGACCAUAAUGGAAAUACGUCUUAACUUUUUUGAGUCAUCCUUGAUGAUAAUAAUGGCAUUGUACUGUAUCAACAUGUCUGGUUGCAUUGUGCCUAAAAUGUUUUAAAAAUACAUAUAAUAAUAAUAAUAAUAAUAAUAAUAAUAAUAUGAAUGUCCAAUACAUACAAUAGACUGACUGGAAAGGUGAUUUCCCACAGUCAAAGUCCUGCUACGAUGCUAAUAUUUGUGUAAACUCUACACAGUUGUGUGAGUGUCACUGAGUAGUCUGAUUUUCAUGGUUUCAACAUCCAUAGGUUAGGCUGUACAGACAGUACUUAUAAGUAUGGCCCCAAUGCCAUUCUAAAGUCUAACACAUCGACAGUGUGAUUUUAACUGCACAUUUUUUUGUUGUGUCAAAUGAACAAAUUAUUGUCUCAUGUUGGAUUUAUUUAACAACAUUAUGAACUUGUUAAGCAUGAUUUACUCCAAAUAUGGCAUGAUUCCACUAUUUGAAUCCGUUUGAUUCACUGUCAAUGGGGGACUUAUAUUUUGAAGGCGACCUGCAAAUUCCACUUUUGUGGUUUAUCCUUAUUGUGGCUAGCUUCACAUUGGUGAAUUCACCAACACUGACCCACUGAGAAGGACUAAACUGAUCAUUACUGUCAACCAGACAAGGACAACUGAAAUCCACAUAUUAAAACGUAGUCUGAAUAUUGGGACAGGAAUCACAAAAACAAUCACAAGUUCUUAACAAGAGGACCAAUAGUAAGUCAUCCUGAAUGGAUCCCCCAAACAGAGGGGGGGCAACGGAGAGGUAGAGGAGGAGCCAACCAUGUCGAUCACAGAAGAGGUGCUGAGGCUGGUCAGAAAGAAGAGGAAGGGAUAGCCAACCAAGGGAGAGGGGGAAGAGGUAGGGGGG